UUUGCAGAGGAAUAUCUGUUUACCAACAGCCUCGACAGAGUGUGCACCAAUCAGACUGCUGUGAACAGUGCACAAAUGUGUAUUUCAAAACAACUGUUGGAAUAGUCUGGUGAGAUGUUUUUUUGUAUAUACUGCAGUUGCACAAGGCUUCAGGACACAGAAAUCAUGUUCGAUGUGAAAUCUGCUACAGAUGGGCCCAUCUAUCAUGCUUGCCUGAAAAUGAGAAGCAGAAAGACUUUGAAAAUGUGCGUUAUCAAUGUAAUAAAUGUGUGGAUUAAGAUGCUACAGUACUGUGGGAUUGGUUGUGGGUUGUGUUUAGAAGUUUUGCCUUUUGUAAUUCUUUGUCUGUUUCUGUAGAUGCUGUUGGCACCCUUGUUUUUCGUGUGUAAAAUAUAAUUAUUCCUUAUUGUGUAAUACUGUAGUAUUAUGUUUGAUUAUUUUGUAGUACAGUAUUAUGAUGUACCACUUCCUAACACUACAGUAACUUUACAAGAACUGGUGUACUGUGUUUAGUGUGCAUUGUGGCAGAAUUAUUGCUGCUGCAUUCUGUAUUAACUGCAGCCUCUAAUGUACAAGAAGAGAGCAUUAAAAUAAUGAAGAUGUGAUAAAGAACAAAAAA